UCUCCAAGGAAAGCUGUCUUCUUGGCUCUGAAAAUUGUUAUGUAUGGCAACUCUGGUCUGCGAUGAGGAACAAGUAAUGACAAAGGCAUGGUCAUAAGACUGAGGUGUGAAAUAACAAGAGUGAAUGUUGUAAAUAGAAGAAGAUGGAAAUGGAAUAGGAAGAAUGACAGCAAGAGGCUACACAAGCCAAACUUCCUGCACCCCCUUCAGGGACAGACGGAGGCAUCUGUGAUCCCAUCUCUACAACAAUGAAAAUUUGCUUCAGCCAUCACAAUAAAUCCAGAUGGGCAGUGCCUCUCUGUUUCCUA
rnacentral:lncRNA from 1 species